rnacentral:rRNA from 1 species
UACAGAGGGUGCGAGCGUUGUCCGGAAUCACUGGGCGUAAAGGGUGCGUAGGCGGGUCUUUAAGUCAGUGGUGAAAGCCCGGAGCUCAACUCCGGAACUGCCAUUGAAACUGUUGGACUUGAGUAUGAGAGAGGUGAGUGGAAUUCCCAGUGUAGAGGUGAAAUUCGUAGAUAUUGGGAAGAACACCGGUGGCGAAGGCGGCUCACUGGCUCAUUACUGACGCUCAGGCGCGACAGCGUGGGGAUCAAACAGG